GACGAACGCUGGCGGCGUGCUUAACACAUGCAAGUCGAGGGGGUGUUGGGAGCAAUCCUGGCAUCACCGGCGAACGGGUGCGUAACACGUGAGCGACCUGCCGUACCUGUGGGGGAUAGCCGGCCCAACGGCCGGGUAAUACCGCAUACGCUUGUUCUGGGGCAUCCUGGGACAAAGAAAGCUGGAGCCGCAAGGCUUUGGCGCAGGACGAGGGGCUCGCGGCCUAUCAGCUAGUUGGCGGGGUAACGGCCCACCAAGGCGGUGACGGGUAGCUGGUCUGAGAGGAUGGCCAGCCACAUUGGGACUGAGAGACGGCCCAGACUCCUACGGGAGGCAGCAGUGGGGAAUCUUGCGCAAUGGCCGAAAGGCUGACGCAGCGACGCCGCGUGUGGGAUGAAGCAUUUCGGUGUGUAAACCACUGUU
rnacentral:rRNA from 1 species